rnacentral:lncRNA from 1 species
GGGGACUGAGUGGUAAGCAACUCCGAGUGUUAGACGGUGAUCGGGCGGCGAUUCCGGGAAAAGCGAGGAAAGACACAGUCUGCGAUUGUGCCGCACCCCCCACCCACCUCUUAGCAUCUGGAUUCUGCUCUCGUAGUGGGGGCCGCGGACCCUCCCCGCCACAGUCCUUUUACUCUCCAGCACUCCCACCGCCUUCCCCCUUCUUCAGCCAUCUGACUCUCCUAGGGGGUCGGCGUGGCGAAGGACGGCUAGCCUUGGAGGGAAAGUAGCCACCAGUCCAACUCGGGUCGCCCCCACCAUUAUUUCGGUGAGGGGGCAACGCUAAGAAGGGGAUACUGGGGGAGUGGCCACAGCAGGUCCUAUCUGGUGGUGAGUGGCUGUCAUGAUCUCUACAGCACCGCUCUACAGCGGCGUGCACAACUGGACCAGUUCUGACCGGAUUCGCAUGUGUGGCAUCAACGAGGAGAGUCACUUCCAGCAGUGGAGCCCUCCCACUUCUGCCAGUCCAACUGCCUUUUAAAGGGAACAAGCCUUUCCCCCUCGGUUAGCCCCUUCUGGAUCCCUGAAAAGAUGGGGAGAGGCCCGUGGUGAUCCCCCUUGCCUUUUUUGCUUCUCUUGCCCCAGAGAGCACCUCUUUCUGAUGAGGAGUCAACGACAGGCGACUGCCAGCACUUUGGAUCUCAGGAGUUUUGUGUCAGCAGCAGUUUUUCCAAGGUGGAGCUCACGGCAGUUGGAAGUGGCAGCAAUGCCCGGGGGGCAGACCCAGAUGGCAGUGCUACAGAAAAACUUGGGCACAAGUCAGAAGACAAGCCUGACGAUCCCCAGCCAAAAAUGGACUACGCUGGGAACGUGGCAGAGGCUGAGGGCCUCUUGGUGCCCCUGAGCAGCCCAGGAGACGGGCUCAAGCUUCCCGCAU